CGGCCCGUACCCCAAACCAACUCAGGUGGUCAGGUAGAGAAUACCAAGGCGAUCGAGCGAACUGUGGUUAAGGAACUCGGCAAAAUGCCCCCGUAACUUCGGGAGAAGGGGGGCCUGAGGCGUGAAGGAACUUGCUUCCGGAGCGUUUGAAGGCCGCAGAGACCAGUGGGAAGCGACUGUUUACUAAAAACACAGGUCCGUGCGAAGUCGUAAGACGAUGUAUACGGACUGACUCCUGCCCGGUGCUGGAAGGUUAAGGGGAACUGUGAGUGUAUGCG
rnacentral:rRNA from 1 species